UGCGCAGGCGGAAGAUUAAGUCGGUGGUAGUAAUUUGCAGCUCAACUAGUAAAAGUGCCAUUGAUACUUGGUUUUCUUGAGUGUGGAUGAAGUAGGCGGAAUUUGUGGUGUAGCGGUGAAAUGCAUAGAUAUCACGAGGAACUCCGAUUGCGCAGGCAGCUUACUAAACCAUAACUGACGCUCAGGCACGAAGGCGUGGGGAUCAAACA
rnacentral:rRNA from 1 species